CUGAGUUCGGGGCAAUCCCAGUCCCGACCUCCAACCCUUUGUGAACAUAUCUUGUUGCUUCGGGGGCGACCCUGCCGUUCGCGGCAUUCCCCCCGGAGGUCAUCAAAACACUGCAUUAUUACGUCGGAGUAAAAAGUUAAUUUAAUA
rnacentral:misc_RNA from 1 species